rnacentral:miRNA from 10 species
UUAUUAUUAGGUUGCUGCAGAAGUAAUUGUGGUUUUUGCCAUUUAAAAGUAAUUUUGAAAACCGCAAUUACUUGUGCAUCAGUCUAAUAA